rnacentral:rRNA from 1 species
UUCUCCAGGCUCGGAGGCGAAAUGAAAGUGAAGGCCGAUCUGGGCGUCGGCUGCGGUGUGAUCCGCGUGGCAGGUCUUUUCCUUAACCCGCGUCCCGCCCUCGGGCGGUUCGCGGGGCCGACGGCGCAACACCGGCCCGUCCCGUCCGCAGCGUCGGUGGGGCGGAGCGAGAGCGCACACGUUGGGACCCGAAAGAUGGUGAACUAUGCCUGGGCAGGACGAAGCCAGAGGAAACUCUGGUGGAGGUCCGCAGCGAUUCUGACGUGCAAAUCGAUCGUCAGACCUGGGUAUAGGGGCGAAAGACUAAUCGAACCAUCUAGUAGCUGGUUCCCUCCGAAGUUUCCCUCAGGAUAGCUGGCGCUCGAGGGAAGCAGUCUCAUCCGGUAAAGCGAAUGAUUAGAGGCCUUGGGGCCGAAACGACCUCAACCUAUUCUCAAACUUUCAAUGGGUGAGAAGUCCGGCUUGCUCGACUGAAGCCCGGACGUCCCAGGAUGCGAGUGCCCAGUGGGCCACUUUUGGUAAGCAGAACUGGCGCUGUGGGAUGAACCAAACGCUGGGUUAAGGCGCCCGAUGCGAGACGCUCAUCAGAUCCCAUGAAAGGUGUUGGUUGCUAUAGACAGCAGGACGGUGGCCAUGGAAGUCGGAAUCCGCUAAGGAGUGUGUAACAACUCACCUGCCGAAGCAACUAGCCCUGAAAAUGGAUGGCGCUGUAGCGUCGAGCCCAUACCCGGCCGCCCCGGCUGCGUGCGGAAGCUUAAGCCGGGGUGAGUAGGAGGUGUCGCAGCGGCGCGCGUUGAAGGUGCCGGGCGCGGGCCCGCCUGGAGCCGCCGCUGGUGCAGAUCUUGGUGGUAGUAGCAAAUACUCAAGUGAGAACCUUGAGGACUGAGGUGGAGAAGGGUUCCAUGUGAACAGCAGUUGAACAUGGGUCAGUCGGUCCUAAGGGAUAGGAGAAAUCCGUUCCGAAGCGGGACCUGCACGUGCCUUUGUUAGGUCCCGUGGUCGACCGAAAGGGAAUCGGGUUAAUAUUCCCGAACCCGGAUGCGGAGAUCGGCCCUUCGGGGUCAACUGCGGUAACGCAACCAAACUCGGAGACGUCGAUCGGGGUCCCGGGAAGAGUUGUCUUUUCUUUGUAAGGGAUCGGCUCCCUGGAAUCGGCUCGCCCGGAGAUAGGGAUGCUGUUCCCGUAAAGCACCGCGGCUCUUGCGGUGUCCGGAGCGCUCCGGUCGGCCCUUGAAAAUCCGAGGGAGAGUGUGAUUUUCGUGCCGGACCGUACCCAUAUCCGCAGCA